UGCAGCUUUCCUUGUGUCCUGCUUUGCUUCCUACAUCCGUGACCUGAAACCAACUCUGAGCAUCCCGCAUGUAUUCUUUCAUGAAAUGAAUGAGCUGGGUCUUGAUGGAACUGGAGUUCAGAACCCUCUGGUCAUCUUUCCUUAAUGUUUGUCCCCUUCUGGGUAUAUGGAUCAGAAUUCUUUUGAGGGUGCAAAAGGUCCUGAUAGGAUUAGAGUUCAGAGUUCUCUGAUCAUCUUCUAACAUAUACCUCUCU